rnacentral:rRNA from 1 species
UACGAAGGGGGCUAGCGUUGCUCGGAAUCACUGGGCGUAAAGGGCACGUAGGCGGAUUGCUAAGUCAGGGGUGAAAUCCUGGAGCUCAACUCCAGAACUGCCUUUGAUACUGGCGAUCUUGAGUCCGGGAGAGGUGAGUGGAACUGCGAGUGUAGAGGUGAAAUUCGUAGAUAUUCGCAAGAACACCAGUGGCGAAGGCGGCUCACUGGCCCGGUACUGACGCUGAGGUGCGAAAGCGUGGGGAGCAAACAGG